rnacentral:rRNA from 1 species
GAUGAACGCUCGCUACAGGCUUAACACAUGCAAGUCGCAGGGUAACAUGAGGAAAGCUUGCUUUCCUUGAUGACGACUGGCGCACGGGUGAGUAACGCGUAUCCAACCUUCCCAUAACUACGGGAUAACCCGUUGAAAGACGGCCUAAUACCGUAUGAUAUCGUUUGCUGACAUCAAAUAACGAUUAAAGGUUUAGCGGUUAUGGAUGGGGAUGCGUCUGAUUAGCUUGUUGGCGGGGUAACGGCCCACCAAGGCGACGAUCAGUAGGGGUUCUGAGAGGAAGGUCCCCCACAUUGGAACUGAGACACGGUCCAAACUCCUACGGGAGGCAGCAGUGAGGAAUAUUGGUCAAUGGGCGAGAGCCUGAACCAGCCAAGUAGCGUGCAGGACGACGGCCCUAUGGGUUGUAAACUGCUUUUAUGUGGGGAUAAAGUGCGUGACGUGUCAUGCAUUGCAGGUACCACAUGAAUAAGGACCGGCUAAUUCCGUG